rnacentral:rRNA from 1 species
AGUGAACGCUGGCGGUAGGCCUAACACAUGCAAGUCGAACGGCAGCACAGUAAGAGCUUGCUCUUACGGGUGGCGAGUGGCGGACGGGUGAGGAAUACAUCGGAAUCUACUUUUUCGUGGGGGAUAACGUAGGGAAACUUACGCUAAUACCGCAUACGACCUACGGGUGAAAGCAGGGGAUCUUCGGACCUUGCGCGAUUGAAUGAGCCGAUGUCGGAUUAGCUAGUUGGCGGUGUAAAGGCCCACCAAGGCGACGAUCCGUAGCUGGUCUGAGAGGAUGAUCAGCCACACUGGAACUGAGACACGGUCCAGACUCCUACGGGAGGCAGCAGUGGGGAAUAUUGGACAAUGGGCGCAAGCCUGAUCCAGCCAUACCGCGUGGGUGAAGAAGGCCUUCGGGUUGUAAAGCCCUUUUGUUGGGAAAGAAAAGCAGCAGGUUAAUACCCCGCUGUUCUGACGGUACCCAAAGAAUAGCACCGGCUAACUUCGUG